CAGGUGUAGUUGUGUGGGGGAUUUCAUGGAGGUGGUCCCCUGCUCCAGAGUGGCUCACUUGAGGAGCCAUCACCUGUCCUACCCCCUCCCUGACCAGGAUAUCCUCCAGAGGAACAACAUCUGCAUCACUGACACCUGGCUGGAAGAUCUACUAACAGAGAGAUCACUUCAUCAGACAGAGCUAGUCAGACUGAAGAAGAGACCGGGCUGCAGAAACUUCCACUGGUUCCUGACUGACGUCUACCCAGAACUCUAUAUGCCACAGGGCAGACCUUCACUCUCAGGGGAGGUAGGAGUCUCUCUCUCUCACCCCCCCCACUUAUCUGUGUUUUUAUUUGAUUAAUAUACUGUUUGUUUUUUCUUGUAUGUUGAACAUGUAUCCUGUGACAUAUUAUGCCUGUAUUUUUUAAGCUGUACAAUGUUGGCACUGGCUAUUGUAC
ensembl:lncRNA